UACGUAGGGUGCAAGCGUUGUCCGGAAUUAUUGGGCGUAAAGAGCUCGUAGGCGGUUUGUUGCGUCGGCUGUGAAAACCCGGGGCUCAACUCCGGGCCUGCAGCCGAUACGGGCAGACUAGAGUUCGGCAGGGGAGACUGGAAUUCCUGGUGUAGCGGUGAAAUGCGCAGAUAUCAGGAGGAACACCGGUGGCGAAGGCGGCAUCCUGGACCGGCAUUGACGCUGAGGCGCGAAAGCCAGGGGAGCAAACGGG
rnacentral:rRNA from 1 species